CCCUUAAAGUCUUCAACACUGCACACUAGUGAGCUAGCUUAUUUUAUUUUUUUACAGUAAAACGAUUCGUUUUCUCUACUCCUCACUUUUUUCACAUUUUUUCCAAAUCACUGAUUCGAAUUUCUCCUACCCAUUUCUCCCUCCAUGAUUCGCCCCUCCACCCGUGUUGCAGUACAUCUGCCACAAUCUUUCAUCGCCGACAACUCUGAUCGACCAAAGAAACUUAGAUUCGGUAGGUUGUUGUGUUGCUCUGGUAUAACGGUCUUCUUUUUACCCAUCUUCUCUUUAUGGCAAUCUCUCUUUAAAAAAGUUUAGUAAAACACAAAAAAAUCCACAUUUCUCUACAAUUUAAGGCGAAGAAAGUUGAUGCUUGAGUCAUAUGAGCAUAGAUAGACUUGAGUGAAAAAAAUUAAAUUAAAAAAUUGAUACUUUGUCAAUCUGAGUCGCAUGAACAUAAAUACACGUGCAAAUGCAAUACAUAGGAGCAGUCCAGUGCAGAGAGAAAACUCUUUUAAAUUUAUUACCGGUUGGAAUAAUAUAAGGUUAUAUUAUCUUGAUUUAAUUUAAUUAAUUCUUAAAGAAUUUGAACGAAAAAACUAUCGAAAUAAAAUAUAAGAGAGAAUUAGAUUAUUAUCUAAAAAAAAAAUUAAUUAAGAGUCAAACACAAAUAGAUUCUCAAGCAUUAGAUUGUUUUCGGAUAAACCGGUUUGCCACAUCAUGUGUUUGGUGUAUGCAUCUAGACCGGCCUAAGAAAAUUACUCAAUAAUAAAACUAUUUCCCACGCUUUCUCUUUCCUUUUUCUCCACUAUCCCUUUCCCUCCCUUCCUCUCGAGCCCGACGGUAACUUUCUCUCCCUUUCUCUCAUAAAGCUUCAUUCGGCAGUGGGUUUCUCUUUCUUUUCUCUGUUUUUUUUUUCUUUACUCUGUCCCUUUCUCUCUCCGUCCAUCCAUUGUCCUUUCGUUGGCCUGGGUGAAGGACCAAACUGCAGCCCUUUGUGUUUAUUCUACACCGAUAAUCGGCAGCUAGCUUCCUUCCGGCCUGUGCUCCGACGCUUUCUGAGGAACUUCGAUCCAAAGCCCAAGAAUUUUCGUCGCUUGCGGUAUUUGUGAAGUGGGGUCUUCUCUCUUUUGCUCUCAAAGAUGAAGGUCACUGUCGUUUAACGGAGUGGUAGAUAAGUUAUCAAGGGUGGCCUUGAGCUCAGCGAUUCAGCAACGGUAGCAGAUCUGCAGGAGGCGAUUCAUCGGCGAAAGGUACAUGGGGUCUUGUUUGGUUAUGGAGGUGGCAAGGAAGGACCUGAACAUUGGGGAAACUUGAACUCAAAAUACUCGACAUGCUCAAACGGGAAAAGGCAAUCUCCUGUGGACAUUGUGAAGGACAAAGUUGUGCGUAACAAGAACUUGAAACCCUUGACCAGAGAAUAUGGUCCCGCAAAUGCCACUCUGGUCAACAACGGGUUUAACAUUGCGAUCAAUUUUGAGGGACAUCAUGUGGGAGUGUUGGUGGCCGAUGGGAAGAACUUCACCCUCAAGCAUAUCCACUGGCAUUCUCCUUCUGAGCACCAGAUUGAUGGACAAAAAUUUCCUGUGGAGCAGCAUUUGGUCCACCAGGCCGAUGACGGCAGCUUUGCAGUUGUCUCAACCCUCUACCAAUAUGGUGAUCCCGAUACUGUUCUUUCUAAGAUAAUGGGAAAGUUGGAUGAACUGGGCAAGGAAGAGUGUGCAGAGCACGAAGAAGCUCAUAUCCCUCUUAGAGACUUCAAGACCAAGCGCCUAAUGCGGAAGAGCCGCAAAUAUUACAGAUACUUCGGUUCUCUCACCACUCCCCCAUGCACCGAGAAGAUCAUGUGGAAUAUUCUCGGCAAGGUGAGAUCAAUCUCCAAGGAUCAAGUAGAGGCACUGAAUAAGCCAUUGAAGUCUAAUUGCAAGGAGAACUCGAGGCCAGUACAGCCAUUGAAUGGGCGCCAGAUUGAGCUAUAUGAUGAGCUUGGCGGCGACAAAAUUUAGUUACCAUCAUCUUCACCACUCAUUAAAAGAGCUGUUAGCUGCAUCUAUGUUUUCUACUUCAUGCAUGUAUAUAUCAUGAACUACAUUAUGAACUAAUCUUAUAAUUACAACAUAUAUAAUAUAUAUGUAUAUGUUCCUAUAUAGCACAUGCAGUGCCUUGAAAAAUCA